rnacentral:siRNA from 1 species
UUAGAUACAACAUAUUAGUGCAGA